UGCUCACAGCAUCCUACAAAGUAACU
rnacentral:piRNA from 1 species